GAUCUUUUUCACCUGUUCCUGUGAUUGUCUCCACCCCCUCCAGGAACCCUCUGCACACAGCAACAACAACCACCCUCCGAAGCAUCGUCCACAAAAGCCAAAACCCUUGCAGAGCAAGGGGAACAACUACUUCAGGUCUCAGACAACCAAUGAUUCGGGUCAACAGCAUCAAUGAAACAGUAUAUCUUUCGUCCGUCCCCUCGCACGAACCAGGGACCCUUUGCACACACCAACAACUGACACCCACGAAGCAUCGUUACCCAUCGCGCCACAAAAGCCACUGCCCUUGCAGAGCAAGGGGAACAACUACUUCAGAGCGGGGGAUGUCACCGAUUGAAAUGCUAUUAGCGCGCACCAGCUAGCUAGCUAGCCAUUUCACAUCGGUUACACCCGUUUCUGGACUCUGUGUCCGCAUGCCUGACCAUUCUACCUGCCUUGACCACGACCAUUCUCUUGCCUACCCCUUUAGAUUAUUAAACAUUGUAAGACUCCAACCGUCUCGUCUUGAUAUAGUAGGGGUUGGUAAUGUUCUGUAGUUGUGCCAUGAUUGGCUCAGUGUUCUGUCACUCAUGGGGACACUAGUCACUGCAAAUUCUAAGGGUAGAGCUAAAGAAUUCAAGCCCCUUGGGUGCUGCCAUAGACUUACAUUAGAAGUGCCCAUCCAUGAAGGCUCAAGCUCAUUGGCCACAGAUAAAAUGACAUCAAAUCACAUAUCUACAGUAGCUUUGAUUGGACUGAUCUUAGCUAGCAGUCAUCACCAUGAAUCAAGUCAACAAUCUUAUGGCAAAUCCUUUUCAAUCCUUGUCAUAUGAAGAGAA
ensembl:lncRNA